CGUGCCUUAGGAUGGGAUUGCCAGGACAUACUAGUAAUUUAUGUAUGCGCACUUCUGUUGCUCUUGAGCCUUGUGCAGUGCUGUUGGCAGCUAGAGCCAGGAGCUACCUCCUUCAUGAGUCAGAUCAGUAGGUUCACACUGCCCUUCUUCCUCUUGAGAGAGAGGCAUCCCCAAUGAAACAGGGGAUCAAACUCAGGUCAUCAAGCUUGGCACCAAGAACCUUUUACUUGCUGUGCCAUCUCACCAGCCCUGCUAUGUGCAUUUUUAAUAGGUUGUUGUCAGAUAAGGAUUUAGAAUACAUCUGUAAAGGUUCCUGGGAGGCCGAUGAACUUGGCUCCUUCUUAGCGAAGUUAUCUAAAAUACUUUAAAUACUUUAAAAUAAAACUAAUCCCUACACUGGUGGGUUGAAAACUUUUCCUAUCCCCAGGGCACUAAAAUAAUACCCUUUCCAACAGCAGGGGAAGUAUUUUAGGCGACAGCUCUCUAGUUAUAACAAGGCAAGUCAAUUUUUAGGAAUUAGGGAUGCUAAUCACGGUGUCUCAAGAUGUGCAUUGCCGGGGAGUGGAAUUCGAGACCACAAACUGUCAUGAUCGCUGUGUGCCUCGCUCUGAGGAGGAGAUGGAAACAGGAGGGAGACUCGGCUUCCUGGUCCCUCCACAGCCUGAUCUAUCAUAAAGGUCAAGAUAAUUGGCCACAUACAGCAAAAUCAACACCACUCCUCUUCCCCAGCCUAGCAGAUAAGCAGGGAAACUCAGCACCCUGCCAGGCUAAGUGGUGGCUAGCCCAGGUGGAGGAGGAGAAAGGUCCGAAAAUAUGCAUGCAAGAACACAAGGCCCUGUAAUGAUGCCAUCAGAUUAGCAUUAAAUAUAUUUUACAAUCAAUCGAGAUACCGCAGGCUGUCCCCAAACAUGCAGGAAAUCGGUCCAGGAUUUCAACAGACUACUCACGCUUGUGUUUAUGCCUUUCUGGUGUUUUAGACUUUAAAACUCCCAACAUUAGAAAUGUACAUAUUAACAAAUGAAAUCACAGUAAAUGCAAGUUCUGGUUCAAUGCCAUCAUUAAAAUAUGACCACGUGAGAAUUCUGCUUUCCUUAAAAGUUCAAUUAAUCUAAUGACUCAAAGUCAAAGCAAUGUUGGCCAAAGAAGAAAAGGCAUCAGAAAAUGCACACAAAGAGGCUAGAGAGAUGCUCAGUUGACAAUUCACUUGCAAGCAUGAAGAAAUGAGUUCAACACCAGAGCCCAUCUGAAAAGGCCAAGCACCAAUUUACAAUCCUGGCACUGGGAAGCAGAGACAGCUGGACAGCCAGUGUCUACAAGGAUGGAUAUUUUAAAGUUGGCAUCACAGAAGACUCAGUACUGGAUCUCAGCUGUCACAAAGAUGGUGUGGGUAUGGAGCAAAGUGGGACGCCAGGAGGAGCCAUGCUGUGGAUGGAGGAAGGAUGCAAGUGAAGCACAGCUUCAUAAUCACACAAGGCAUUCCAUCUAACAACAUCAUAUGCUGGUUCUCACUAACCAGGUAGGUACCAGGCAGCAUCAAGGAGCAUUUGCUGAGCAUCCUUUGUGUUGGCCAAUGAGUGAGAUAAGGGGAGCCAUCAAAUCCAUAUGAGAAAUAAGCCUUAAUGACAACAAUUUGUCAGACACUGUUUCCAUUCAUUCAUUCAUCAACAUUUGGGUGCCAUUGAGAGAAUGAAAUGAUUUAACCCAUCUCAUUCAUCAUCCAAACCAGGAAACAAAUUGUAAAAGUCAUGCUUUUCUAGAUUACCUGACAGGGGAUAUAUGAAGCUGUGGAGGGAACAGGGAAGACAACAGGCUGUAUGUCAUCUUCCAGGCAGCUGGAUGAUAGGAACACACAUAUCCUGGCUAAUGGUGGGUAAAACCUUCAGUUAUUCAGGACUAUGUACUUACACCCACAGUUGCAAGGAACAACAGCACAAGAAAAUGAGACAAAUAACUAAGGCCACACUCUGUAGCAUUUACUCAACAAACAAUACGUACUUAAUUUAGGCCAGAACUAUUCAAGGGGUUUGGGGAGUUGAGAGGUAGGUCCUGUUCAGACCACCAGGCUGGUGAGCAACAGAACGGAGACUCCAGCAGAGCUCUUGCUAAUUGGAAGAGCCUGGGCUAUGUUGUUUCCAAGCACCUAAUGACAAAUCUCUUGGUUUCUCAUCCCUUCAGCUGCCUACUCUGCAGUAAAGUCUUCUCCAGUCACAGCG
ensembl:lncRNA